rnacentral:rRNA from 1 species
GAUGAACGCUGGCGGCGUGCCUAACACAUGCAAGUCGAGCGUGAACCGUCUGAAUGAAACUUCGGUCGAGUGAGGAUGGGGAAAGCGGCGGACGGGUGAGUAACGCGUAGGCAACCUUCCCGUACAGAGGGAUAGCCUCGGGAAACCGGGAUUAAGACCUCAUAAUACCAUUAUCUCACAUGUGAUAAUGGUCAAAGAUUUUAUCGGUAUGGGAUGGGCCUGCGUCUGAUUAGCUGGUUGGUGGGGUAACGGCUCACCAAGGCGACGAUCAGUAGCCGACCUGAGAGGGUAAUCGGCCACAUUGGAACUGAGACACGGUCCAAACUCCUACGGGAGGCAGCAGUGGGGAAUAUUGCACAAUGGGCGAAAGCCUGAUGCAGCAACGCCGCGUGAGCGAGGAAGGCCUUUGGGUCGUAAAGCUCUGUCGAGGAGGAAGAUAAUGACGGUACUCCUCGAGGAAGCCCCGGCUAACCUACGUG